GUCCCUCUGGGCAAAGUACUUUGGGACCUGCCCUUAAAGGCCAGGGACUGAAAACACCAUCAGUUUUUGGUGCUGAAGUGCCUUGGCCCAGAUUGCUGGGGACAGAAAGAGCCCCUCAGCAGGGGCCUGGGGCUACUGGAGAAGGAAUGGCCAAGAGGCUAAGCUUGGCACUUAGUAGGGCAGGGGGCUUCAGCUUUGUAGACAUCUGUCCUCAUGGGCCUCUAGGCAAGAGGCAGCCAGGGUCUCUGCGCCUCCAUUUCCUGAUCUGUAAAACGAUGACAUCUGAUGGCCAUUCCAGCCGAGCUGCAGGACUGGGGCAGCCUUGGAGACAAGUGUGACCUAAUGGAAAAAGCCCGAGGCCGGGAGCAAGAACCUGAACUCUGCCAAUAACCUGCUGUGUAACUUAAUAAAAGAAUAAUAAUAAUA